AGCUAUGCGUGUUGAGUUUCGACGAAAUGAAAGUAAGACAAUCUUACUGUUACGAUGUUUCAUCGGACUCAACAUUAGCCCCCGUCAACUACGUACAGGUAGCGAUGUUAAGAGGUCUCAUGGCAAAGUGGAAACAGCCAAUCUUUUAUGACUUCGACUGCAAAAUGACUUCCGUUUUGCUUCCCAAUAGGGCCCUAUUUAAUGAUCUAGGCGUAAAUGAAGACCAGCCGUGGUUUAUUUUCAAUGACCAAAGGAUUUACGUUUUCGCUGACGUGCCACACUUGCUAAAACUUUUGCGAAAUCAUUUCCUUGAUCAAGGUUUCCUAAUUAAUGGGAAACCUGUGAAAAAGGAAAUAAUUUUGGAGUUAUUGUCAAUUACAAGCACGGACUUGACAAUAACUCAUUUCUGCAAGUAACUUGACCGUGGCUGGAGCUCACCGCCAAAAGGUCAAGACGGCAGCGAAACUAUUUUCGCAUACUGUGGCGCAGGCCAUAACAAGGGCAGCAAGGCUGGGUCAUUUGCAGAACCAAAACUGUACCGAAUGCUUCCAGUUAUUCAAAACAACAAAUGACUGGUUUGACGUUCUAAACGUCAGGGUGCCUCACGCCGACUCCAGGAAGCGGUGUCUUGCUUACGGUUUAGCGAUCGAGGAGCAAAACAAAAUCCUAGACGAGAUGACCGACCUAGUCAAAAAUAUGAGGGUGCUUGGCAAAUUUAGUCUGCUGCCAUUCCAAAAAGGAAUCAUUCAAAGUAAUACGGCGUUGAAGUUGUUAUUCGAGGACAUUAAAGCUCGCUUUAAUGUCAAGUAUGUCUUGACGUAUCGGCUAAACCAAGACGUACUCGAAAAUUUCUUCGGCAUUAUUCGGUCAAAAGGCGGGUUACAUGAUCACCCUGACCAACAGGAA